AGUGGCGAACGGGUGAGUAACGCGUGAGUAUCUGCCCUUAGGAGGGGGACAACAGUUGGAAACGACUGCUAAUACCCCAUAUGUCUACGGAUGAAAUAUUUUAUCGCCUGAGGAUGAGUUCGCGUCUGAUUAGCUAGUUGGUGAGGUAAAGGCUCACCAAGGCGACGAUCAGUAGCUGGUCUGAGAGGAUGAUCAGCCACACUGGGACUGAGACACGACCCAGACUCCUACGGGAGGCAGCAGUGGGGAAUUUUCCGCAAUGGGGGCAACCCUGACGGAGCAAUACCGCGUGCGGGAGGACGGCCUGUGGGUUGUAAACCGCUUUUCUCAGGGAAGAAGACCUGACGGUACCUGAGGAAUCAGCAUCGGCUAACUCCGUGCCAGCAGCCGCGGUAAUACGGAGGAUGCAAGCGUUAUCCGGAAUUAUUGGGCGUAAAGCGUCCGUAGGUGGUUAAUCAAGUCUGCUGUUAAAGAGCGGAGCUCAACUCCGUUUAAGCGGUGGAAACUGGUUGACUAGAGAGUGGUAGGGGUAGAGGGAAUUCCCAGUGUAGCGGUGAAAUGCGUAGAUAUUGGGAAGAACACCGGUGGCGAAAGCGCUCUACUGGGCCACAUCUGACACUGAUGGACGAAAGCUAGGGGAGCGAAAGGGAUUAGAUACCCC
rnacentral:rRNA from 1 species